rnacentral:rRNA from 1 species
AGUGAACGCUGGCGGUAGGCCUAACACAUGCAAGUCGAACGGCAGCACAGGAGAGCUUGCUCUCUGGGUGGCGAGUGGCGGACGGGUGAGGAAUACAUCGGAAUCUACCUUUUCGUGGGGGAUAACGUAGGGAAACUUACGCUAAUACCGCAUACGACCUACGGGUGAAAGUGGGGGACCGCAAGGCCUCACGCGAUUAGAUGAGCCGAUGUCCGAUUAGCUAGUUGGCGGGGUAAUGGCCCACCAAGGCGACGAUCGGUAGCUGGUCUGAGAUGAUGAUCAGCCACACUGGAACUGAGACACGGUCCAGACUCCUACGGGAGGCAGCAGUGGGGAAUAUUGGACAAUGGGCGCAAGCCUGAUCCAGCCAUACCGCGUGGGUGAAGAAGGCCUUCGGGUUGUAAAGCCCUUUUGUUAGGAAAGAAAUCCUAUCGGUUAAUAACCGGUGGGGAUGACGGUACCCAAAGAAUAAGCACCGGCUAACUUCGUGCCAGCCGCCGCCGUAAAAC